AACUUCAAUGCAUGACUUCUAUCUUCAAGGCAAUUUCAUGCUUCUAGACACGAUGUCUGCAUUCCAGGACAGCAGCAGAAAGUGUAGAAAAAUAAAAAAGUCCUACCUCCCUAAUGAGUCAACUGCACUUAAGGAGCCAUCCCAGAAGUUUCACACAGCUUCAUUAAGUAUCACCCAUAGGAACAACCCCUACAGAAGAAUCAGAAUAUAAAGGAUGUGAGCCCUGGGUUUCUCAGGCGCUGAAAGGACCUGUCAGAAUCCUCCCAGGUGGGUCACAAUGGCCGGGCUUUAUACCUCAUCUCCAUUCAUGUUUGCAUGUCAGGUACUCCAGGAUGACCUAACAUUAAGCCAGACAACUGUUACAGCUGAGGCAAACGUUGAAGGAGUUGAGAGCUGAAGGCUGCUUUGUAAUGUUGCUCCUAGCAGCCAGCGGGGAAAAAGUCUUUUCUUGAAGAGCGAUCUGUGACCAUCACAAAAUGAUUUGUUCUUAGCUCUUGUAAAAUUGAAAUUGUUUGCUUUUGAAUUUUUAAAAAAUAUUCCUUUAAGAUUCUUAAUACCAAGAUAUGAUAAGGUCCAGGAAUUUUAUAAAGAAGUAUUUCUAUUUAUGUAAUUUCACAAAUUUCUCUAUACAUAAAUCAACACAAACAUGCCUUUGAUACCAACAACUUGAUUGGUUUGUGAAACAAAUCUAUCACGCAAAUACAUAUUGCUGUUUUUAGAUAAGUUCUAAAUGUAUUACCAAAUCAAUUAAUUUCAUUGUGUAUCUCAAUAUUCCAGUUGAUGUAUAAGUUUAAAUAGAACAAACUAUUUGACAUUGAAAUGUUCUUUAUCAAGGGAGAAGGAAUACAAUUUUAAAGCUAAACCGAGUGACACGUAGUUCUGAAUGAUUUAUUGGCUGUCUGCCAUUCUGAAAUGGCUGCCAGUCAAUGUUACAUGUGACAUCUUUCAGAUAGUGUGAACUCUUUUAAGCAAGUACUUUUCACUAUAAAAUUACAGCUGAAGAUCAUGAAAAGUGUGGUGUUUAUCUUAAUGGGCUGAAAGACCUAUUUCAACAGUUACAGUAAUUCAGAAAAAUAGUCUCAAGUCUAGUAUUUCAAUAAUGUUAUUUUCGUAGAUUUUCGUCUUUAA
rnacentral:lncRNA from 1 species